UUAUUUGCGCUACCCUCCCUCUUUUCCUUUCUUUCCCUUUCCCUUUUCCUUUCUUUUCUCCUUCUUUCUAUUCCGAAUGCCUUAUCUACCACCUUCGUUUAACAUCCUUGUUGCUGCCAAUUUUUCCUCUCUCUUGGCCGAAUCGUCUUGAUCGCUUAGUUCUGAUUUAGUUCCCAAUUGCGAUAGGUUGGUAAGUGAGAUUUCUUUUAUUGGUUAGAUUCCGUUUCUGGAUGCAUAACAAAGUUAUGGUUUGUUCUAUUCCAUUUUACUUAACCGGUUCCUUUUGAAAUAUUUCUGAAACCUUUAUGCCGAAUACGAUAAUAUGUGUUUUUGUGUGUUUGUCGUUUAAAGGACCAGAUCUUGAUGUGAACGAGUUAGAUCGAAGUUGAGGAUGUUCCGCACGGUGUGGGAAGUAGAG
rnacentral:lncRNA from 1 species